rnacentral:rRNA from 2 species
AGCGGUAGAGAGAAGCUUGCUUCUCUUGAGAGCGGCGGACGGGUGAGUAAUGCCUAGGAAUCUGCCUGGUAGUGGGGGAUAACGUCCGGAAACGGACGCUAAUACCGCAUACGUCCUACGGGAGAAAGCAGGGGACCUUCGGGCCUUGCGCUAUCAGAUGAGCCUAGGUCGGAUUAGCUAGUUGGUGAGGUAAUGGCUCACCAAGGCGACGAUCCGUAACUGGUCUGAGAGGAUGAUCAGUCACACUGGAACUGAGACACGGUCCAGACUCCUACGGGAGGCAGCAGUGGGGAAUAUUGGACAAUGGGCGAAAGCCUGAUCCAGCCAUGCCGCGUGUGUGAAGAAGGUCUUCGGAUUGUAAAGCACUUUAAGUUGGGAGGAAGGGUACUUACCUAAUACGUGAGUAUUUUGACGUUACCGACAGAAUAAGCACCGGCUAACUCUGUGCCAGCAGCCGCGGUAAUACAGAGGGUGCAAGCGUUAAUCGGAAUUACUGGGCGUAAAGCGCGCGUAGGUGGUUCGUUAAGUUGGAUGUGAAAUCCCCGGGCUCAACCUGGGAACUGCAUCCAAAACUGGCGAGCUAGAGUAUGGUAGAGGGUGGUGGAAUUUCCUGUGUAGCGGUGAAAUGCGUAGAUAUAGGAAGGAACACCAGUGGCGAAGGCGACCACCUGGACUGAUACUGACACUGAGGUGCGAAAGCGUGGGGAGCAAACAGGAUUAGAUACCCUGGUAGUCCACGCCGUAAACGAUGUCAACUAGCCGUUGGGGAGCCUUGAGCUCUUAGUGGCGCAGCU